GAUGAACGCUGGCGGCGUGCCUAAUACAUGCAAGUCGAGCGAACGGACGAGAAGCUUGCUUCUCUGAUGUUAGCGGCGGACGGGUGAGUAACACGUGGAUAACCUACCUAUAAGACUGGGAUAACUUCGGGAAACCGGAGCUAAUACCGGAUAAUAUUUUGAACCGCAUGGUUCAAAAGUGAAAGACGGUCUUGCUGUCACUUAUAGAUGGAUCCGCGCUGCAUUAGCUAGUUGGUAAGGUAACGGCUUACCAAGGCAACGAUGCAUAGCCGACCUGAGAGGGUGGUCGGCCACACUGGAACUGCGGCACGGUCCAGACUCCUACGGGAGGCAGCAGUAGGGAAUCUUCCGCAAUGGGCGGAAGCCUGACGGAGCAACGCCGCGUGGGUGAUGAAGGUCUUCGGAUCGUAAAACUCUGUUAUUAGGGAAGAACAUAUGUGUAAGUAACUGUGCACAUCUUGACGGUACCUAAUCAGAAAGCCACGGCUAACUACGUG
rnacentral:rRNA from 1 species